GCGUUCCAAACACAAAUCCUGGGCUGCGUCUCAAAUCGACUGCUUGUUUUCUAGGUAGUCCACUAACUAAAAAUGGAAUGUUUUCUAGAACGUUCCAACGUAGAAAUAUCUAGUGUAUGUUUGCCCGUGUUUCACACGGUAAUUUAUGCAUUUGGGUACAUGGUUUAUUAUGCGAGACAAAAACGAAUCAGUUAAACAAAUACUUAAAUUCACUACGGAUCAGGUACCUGUUGAUGCCUCUCCAAAAGGCCCACUUCACCUGAGGAGCAAUGAUUCAACAGAAGCCACAAGUUGCUGCAUUGAACAGCCUGAGGCCGCUUCGCUUGCCUCGACAUCGGACUGCGAACCCAAGGCCAAGCAACAUCAUUGUGACUGGAAGAGUCCCGUUUUCUUUCUCUCCUUCUUUAUUUCUUGGGUAGGGGUGGGGAAAUGAAGAAUAAAUGCUUGCUAAGAUGAAAUGCA